ensembl:lncRNA
GGAACACUGGUCACUUUAAUAAUGGAACACUGGUCACUUUAAUAAUGGACCACUAUUCACUUUUAUAAUGUUUACAUAUUUUUGCAUUACUGAUCUCACAUGUAUAUACUUUAUUAUAUACUAUUCUACUGUAUCUCAGUCUAUGACGCUCUGACAUUGCUUGUCCAAAUAUUUAUAUAUUCUUAAAUCUAUUUUUUACUUUAGAUUUGUGUGUAUUGUGUGUAUUGUUGUGAAAUUGUUAAGAUAUUACUUGUUAGAUAUUACUGCACUGUUGGAGCUAGAAACACAAGCCUUUUGUUACACCCGCAAUAACAGCUGCUAAACAUGUGUAUGUGACCAAUAACAUCUGCUAAACAUGUGUAUGUGACCAAUAAACUUUGAUUGGAUUUGUACAAAACAUUAGGAACACCUUCCUAAAACUGAGUUGAAGAGGAGCCUUUCUGUUAUUUAGAUCUGGUUCUUUCACAACAUGCUCCUCUACAACUCAGGUGUUAGAGACCAAUAGAGAGGGAGCAGAACAUGCUCCUGUACGACUCAGGUGUUAGAGACCAAUAGAGAGGGAGCAGAACAUGCUCCUGUACGACUCAGGUGUUAGAGACCAAUAGAGAGGGAGCAGAACAUGCUCCUGUACGACUCAGGUGUUGGAGAGGGAGCAGAACAUGCUCCUGUACGACUCAGGUGUUAGAGAGGGAGCAGAACAUGCUCCUGUACGACUCAGGUGUUGGAGAGGGAGCAGAACAUGCUCCUGUACGACUCAGGUGUUGGAGAGGGAGCAGAACAUGCUCCUGUACAACUCAGGUGUUGGAGAGGGAGCAGAACAUGAGUCAUUAAUAUUCAUAUCCGUUGCAAAACAGUUUCUGUUGUGUAGCCCUAAUGAACAUGACCCAUGUUUCAAGCCUCCACUGCCUCAGCAUGCCACGGAUACCUAUUUUUGUGCAACUCAUGUUGCUUGAUCACGUACAAAUACUAAACAGUGGUACAUUGUUGUUCACCAAAACUUGACUAAAUCAGAGAGCACUUUAAUGGACAUGUCAAUGUUUUUUAUAU